CUCAGCAGUGUGCAGCAUGGUGUACAUUACAGAAAACUUUGGAUCCUGUUCCAGCAGACCUUAUUAGCACUCCACAGAGGAAAAUUGAAGCCCUGAAGAAUAGAAUGAGGAGAAGUCCACGUUCAUCACCAAGUUUGGGACAGCCCUGCGUCAGCCCUCCUACAAGAAGCUGGCAGGGGCUCAGCAGAGCCACAGUCACUGCUGUCUUCUGGUGUAUGGCUGAAGUCCUAAAUCUCUUUAUUUAUCUAUCUAUCUAUCUAUCUAUCUAUCUAUCUAUCUAUCUAUCAAGGUAUUUUUCCUUUAAAAUGGAAUGAGAAUUUGUUUGGCUCCCGGGAAGCAGUUGAGGCCAUUUUCUGACAGAUGUCAAAUGCCAAAUCUUUUAGGAGCAACACUUGUAAAAGCAUGUUGUGGUUGUUUUAUAUAAGAGAAAUGUAUUCAUAACAGGUCCUGCUGCUGUGAUUGUGAUACAGGUCACAGAUAAUUGUGUUCAUUAUAAAGUGCAGCAUUGUUAAACCUUUUGUACGAGGACAAAAGUACAAAAAACUUCUGGUUCCCAGCUGGGACCACUUCUCCCUGAAGAGAGGGAAUCCAGGAUCAAGCAGAGACUGGAAUUUUAAAGCUGGUAUCACAGAUCUCUUCACAUGCCCCUGGUAAUACAGCAAAUAAAAGAAACUGCCUGUUUUUAAUCUAACUCUCAGCAAGCCAGUCCAAAAAGUCCCAGAUUUAUUAUCACACCUUGAAAAAUGUGCUCUGGCUAAUCUCUGUUAAUCCACAGGAGAGGUACUUGAAAAUAAUCACUAUAUCUGAGUUGCAAGUCUUGAAAUAACGGUUCUUUCAGCUUUGAUUUCACAGAUCAAUUGGUGACCAGUGUUAGAGAAAUCAAAAAGAAGGAAAACCUGAUGUUUUUACUAAGUCCAUGUAUUAUAUAAAUAUCCAGGAGCCAUUUUGACUUUAAUGUAAUGACUGCUUGAUCUCUGUGGGUUUGGGCAGUAGAUGCUGUAGUGCUUCAUGGACCUCCCUCACAUUUUCUUUGGAAGGGCCUGGAGAGGUUUAGGAUAAACCUCGACUGUGCUACCGUUCUCUAUGGACUUAAUGGUCAAGUGAGUGCCCUGAGUAAAAUCACCACGUUCCCUUACUCAGGCAGCUCUCUUGCAGGACUUCCUUCAAAAGCUUGAGAUCGCAUUGUUCAACUUUUUGUAGAAUCAAGCCCAAGCAAUCCAAAUACAGAAAAGCUGUGACUUCUGCUGACCUUAGUUUAGCAUGGAUGCUAAUUAGGAUCUGAAGGACUGAAGAAAAGGAGUGGAUUGAUGAUACACUUGCUGAAUAAAGGGCCAAGAAUCCUCAGAGCAGUUAAAGCCAGGCUCCGCAAGUGCAAAUUGCCAGCCUGUCCUCUUCUACCAUGUUUCAGUCAUGAAAAGAACCAUCUGUGCCCAGGGCUGUUCAGCCCAAGGCUGCCCAUCAGUAACUGCCAUUGGCUUGGCUAUUGGGUUGAAUACUUUUAGGUAAAAUCCUGUUUAUUUGUGAAUGAGAAAGUGCCCAAGACUACUUCUUACCUCCUAUUUAACCAGUGGCAACUAUGGUUUUGGUCAUUUUUAUCUAGACAAACUUGAGCCCAGUGACCAGAAGGAAAGAGACCUGUGAUUUUCAUAAGCAGUUGCAGCCGUGCAGCUUCUUGGUUGGACUGGAUGAUCUUGGGGGUCUUUUCCAAGAGGACAGAAACAACAUUGCUUCAAAUAAGUGACUCAGCAUGUUACUGUUUGAGAUUUGGUUACUCAUCUU
rnacentral:lncRNA from 7 species